rnacentral:tRNA from 1 species
GCCAGCGUAGCUCAGUUGGUAGAGCAGCUGAUUCGUAAUCAGCAGGUCCGGAGUUCAAAUCUCCGCGCUGGCU